rnacentral:lncRNA from 1 species
AUGCUGACUUCCUGUCAGCCUGAAGAAAGAUCCCUGCAGCUCUGUGUCACCUGCAGCUCCGUGUCACCUGCAGCUCCGUGUCACCUGCAGCUCCGUGUCACCUGCAGCUCAUCUGCAGCUCUGUGUCACCUGCAGCUCUGUGUCACCUGCAGCUCUGUGUCACCUGCAGCUGCUCUGUGUCACCUGCAGCUCCGUGUCACCUGCAGCAGCUCUGUGUCACCUGCAGCUGCUCUGUGUCACCUGCAGCUCUGUGUCACCUGCAGCUCCGUGUCACCUGCAGCAGCUCUGUGUCACCUGCAGCUGCUCUGUGUCACCUGCAGCUCUGUGUCACCUGCAGCAGCUAUGUGUCACCUGCAGCUGCUCUGUGUCACCUGCAGCAGCUAUGUGUCACCUGCAGCAGCUAUGUGUCACCUGCAGCAGCUCUGUGUCACCUGCAGCUCUGUGUCACCUGCAGCUCUGUGUCACCUGCAGCUCUGUGUCACCUGCAGCUGCUCUGUGUCACCUGCAGCUAUGUGUCACCUGCAGCAGCUCUGUGCCACCUGCAGCAGCUCUGUGCCACCUGCAGCUCUGUGCCACCUGCAGCAGCUCUGUGCCACCUGCAGCUCUGUGCCACCUGCAGCAGCUCUGUGCCACCUGCAGCAGCUCUGUGCCACCUGCAGCAGCUCUGUGUCACCUGCAGCUCUGUGUCACCUGCAGCAGCUAUGUGUCACCUGCAGCUGCUCUGUGUCACCUGCAGCAGCUCUGUGUCACCUGCAGCAGCUAUGUGUCACCUGCAGCUCUGUGUCACCUGCAGCUGCUCUGUGUCACCUGCAGCUCUGUGUCACCUGCAGCUGCUCUGUGUCACCUGCAGCUAUGUGUCACCUGCAGCAGCUCUGUAUCACCUGCAGCUCUGUGUCACCUGCAGCUCUGUGCCACCUGCAGCUGUGUGUCACCUGCAGCUCAUCUGCAGCUCUGUGUCACCUGCAGCUCUGUGCCACCUGCAGCAGCUCUGUGCCACCUGCAGCUCUGUGUCACCUGCAGCAGCUCUGUGCCACCUGCAGCAGCUCUGUGCCACCUGCAGCUCUGUGCCACCUAGGCAGCUCUGUGCCACCUGCAGCAGCUCUGUGCCACCUGCAGCUCUGUGUCACCUGCAGCAGCUCUGUGUCACCUGCAGCAGCUCUGUGCCACCUGCAGCAGCUCUGUGCCACCUGCAGCAGCUCUGUGCCACCUGCAGCUCCGUGUCACCUGCAGCAGUGUGGAGGAGCUUCUCUUGAGGCUUGUGUGAGGACCAGGGCAGCUUUAUGUAUAUCCAACUAA